rnacentral:rRNA from 1 species
UACGGGGGGAGCAAGCUUUGUUCGGAAUCACUGGGCGUAAAGGGAGUCUAGGCGGUUUGGUAAGUGGGAUGUGAAAUGCCCGGGCUCACCCCGGGACCUGCAUCCCAAACUGCUGAGCUUGAGUACAGGAGAGGGUGGGGGAAUUCCAGGUGUAGCGGUGAAAUGCGUAGAUAUCUGGAGGAACACCGGUGGCGAAGGCGCCCACCUGGCCUGCUACUGACGCUGAAGCUCGAAAGCUAGGGGAGCAAACGGG